rnacentral:rRNA from 1 species
GUCUAUGACCAUACCUCCCUGAGUGUGCCUGAUCUCGUCUGAUCUCGAAAGCUAAGCAGGAUAGGGCCUAGUUAGUACUUGGAUGGGAGGAACGUAUGUAAUCCUGUUUA